CAGUACACUCACCACAGCCGCUGGCCCGGAUGCUAAGCCCCUCAUUGCCGGGGCGGCAGAGCGGGCCGGCUGCUCCCAGUACGCUGCGUGCCAAAACCACGCCCACCCGGAACUCCAGCUGGCCCGCAAGCGCCGCGCGCAGCCCGGGUUCCCGCUCCCGCUUCUCCCACCACACUUCCCUGCAAGCUGAGAGAAGCGGCUCUGGCCUUGGGCAGCCCAGAAAGGGGCUCCCUCAGUGCAGCGGUGGGCUGAAGGGCUCCUCAAGUGCCGCCAAAGUGGGAGCCCAGGCAGAGGAGGCGCCCAGAGCGAGCGAGGGCUGUGAGGACUGCCAGCACGCUGUCACCUCUCAGAACUAUUUACUCAGAAUGAGUGAAGAGACAGUCUUGCUCUGUUGCCCAGGCCGGAGUGGAGUGGCACAGUCAUAAUUCCCUGUACCCUUGAAAUCCUGAGCUCAAGCCAUCUCCAUACCUUAGCCUCCCAAGUGGCUACUACAGGACUGACUGAUAGUAUUUUCCUUUGGAAGAUCCUUUUAUAUUCUGUCUCUAUGAAAGAAGUGUUUUCAAUGAAAUAAGAUAUUUAUUCCAAAUCAAUCCUGCACCAGAAGCUCCAUUUCUGCAUUCGCUUCCAGAAAACACAGCAGCCGUAUGUGAAUUUGGGAGUGGUCCCACGAACCGGUUAUGAGACGAGGUUUUGGAGCUGGAUCACACCUGACACAACUGGCAUUGAAAACCUUAUUACCAAGAGCCUCUGGCACAAGGCUGCUAUGAAGAAAUACCCAAGACUGGGUACUUUCUCAACUUUCAAAUUGAGCUGUUCAGAAUGUGUGAAACAAUUUUAAGAUGAAGUCAAAGAUACUUGAAGCAGAAGCUGUAUCUGAGGAAGCUGUAUAUAAACCCAAUUUAAAGCAAGUUUAACCUGCUGAUUGGGAAGAAUUUUUAUGAAAAGCUGUGUGCUUCCUGAUAAGAAAAAAGGCUUUCCUGUUUCGAUCAAACCAGAACCAGAUGAGAACUCAGCACAGGCACUGCAGCCACGGAGGUUUCCAGAUAGAAAAAUUGACACCCCUGAGAUCCCAUAACAUUUUGGGGACUCAUCUGGGAUCUGCGGAAGGAGCUUGACUCUUUUCAUUGGCAAUAAAUGGCGCCCCAACAUGGGGACUCAGAGAAGACUCAGGAGCCCCAAGCAGUUGUCCGAAAUCAGAGCUAAGGUACCAGCCAGGGUUAAUUGAAGACUCACCAAGUUCAAGCUUCUCCUUUGGUGGAACUGCUGAGAUUGAAGAACACUUGAAAAUUAUCAAGAAUGUACUGCGGAGUAUUGAAAUUGCAAGUUAUCAUCAAAGGAAGCUGAAUCAUACCUUCCCUGUUUCAAAUAACAAGCAUCAAGCAUCGUGAUAAUGUGGACACUAAGGAGCAACAAUUUCUCUAAAGAUAAGAAUAAAGAUAGACUUUUAGACUACGAGAUGGGCCUGAAAAAAUAUCUGAUCAAGCUACUCAGUUUUACAGAUGAAGAAGGUGAAGCCUGGGAAAACCUAAAGAACCUAUAUAAGGUUCUCAGAUAGACACCAUGUUAUCUGCUUGAAUGAAGAAAAUUUGGUAACAUGUUUGCUGAUCUUAAUCUACUAUACAUUUUUUUAGCUUGUCAACUUGAACAAGUUUCUCAAUUAUUUCCUCAUCUAUUUUUUCUGAUAAACUUAACCAAAUCUUGUAAAAUGAAUGUUUUGAAAACGUAUAUCUUAAAGGAGCAUUUUCUAAUUUAAUAUUGAUGUUUUAUUAUUUAUUGAAUCAAGGAAGUUAUGCAUAUUUUGCAUAAAUAUGUGCUACCUUAUGUAUGAUAAUAUUUUUCUCCACAGUCACAUAUUAAUCUGUCCUGACAUUUUUCUAUAAUAAACAUCAUUAUCUGAGACAGAAAUGACAGGAAAAAUUUAUCCAUUUUAAUGAUAUCUAAUUAAAAUUUGUGUCUAACCUUAAUUGAAAUAUAUAUAUAUAUUUCAGUUAGUAAAAAAGGAAAGUCAAUUGAUGAUGCAUUAAGUGUCAGCAUUAUUACAUAGAGAUUGGAAGACAUUAGGUACAAAUGUGAAUCUGCAAGAGUACCAUUUGUAUAUUGCUAAUUACUUGAUACUGUGUCUUUUUAAGAAAGCUGUUACUCUUUAUUCACUCUAGAGCAUUUCAGACAAUUAAUUAGGCAUUCAUUAAUAGAUGAUUAAACAUUUUGUCUCUACAUUGCUUGAAAGGAGUUGUAAAUUACAUCUUGCCCAUGUUGCUAAUUUGCUGUCCAGCAAACAGACUUGCCUGUGGAAAUUUUGUAAAUCAAGCUUAUGAUAUAUUGGCCAUAGAUUGUUUGUCUUCCAAUUCCUCUUAGCUGUUGAUAAUGCAAAUCAAGCCACAUGAAUGAUAACCUGAUAGAAGACACUGCUUUGAAAAGCUAUACUCACAUUAAUACAAACUGUUCAGAAUUGUUAUGUGGAACAUUUCUCUCUAUAAUUGAGAAGAUAAACAUGGCAAAUAAUAUGCUGCUUCAUCAAGUUUUGCAUGUGAAUCAUUCCCAAAGUGAACUUUGAAAAGAGCUCCAUAAAUUCCAUCAGAAAACAAUGAAAUAUAAAACAUCACAGUCCUUUACCAUAGCUAAGCCAGCAAAUAAAUAUCAGGUAUAAAAACUCAUAUUGAUAAAAACCAAACUUUACUUAACGUUACAGAAGUCCAAAUGAUUUUAUCAAGAUAAUAUGUGAUUUAAUAUGUGAAUCUAUAAUAAAGAAUUCUGAGGCUGAGUGUGGUGGCUCAUGUCUGUAAUCCCAGCUCUUUGGGAGACCAAGGCGGGUGGAUCGCCUGACAUUAGGAGUUCGAGACCAACCUGGCCAACAUGGCCAGACCCCAUCUCUACUAAGAAUACAAAAAUUAGCCAGGUUUGGUGGCUCAUGCCUGUAAUCCCAGUUACUCAGGAGGCUGAAGCAUGAGAACUGCUGGAACCUGGAGGCUGCAGUAAGCUGAGAUCGUGCCAUUGCACUCCAGCCUGGGUGACAGAGCAAGACUCAGUCUCAGAAAAAAUAAAUAAAUAAAAAUAAAAAAUAAAAAAAUAAAAUAAAAUUAUGGUCACACAAGUUUCUAGAAAACCAACUUAUUUCUGAGAUAGCCCAGAGGUGACAUACACUGACUAACCCACUGAGAGUAUGUUUUAUUCUUUGCUGAACUACUAGAACCUAGACUAGAGCCUCACAUGCAAAAAGCAUUCAGUAAAAAUUGUGUUUACAGAAAAUUACUAUAGGACAAUAAUUAUGUCUUAUAAGUGGGUUUGUUUAAAGGGUUUAUCAUUUAUUCUAAGUCACACAUUUUACUCAGAAAUACUAGCUUUGUCCUGGAAAGUUCAAUUAAAUAGAGAAAAGGAACAAGAACAUACAUUCAAGCCAAAAUAAGCAAAGCUUUGCCUCAAGAAGGGUUGAUGGAAAAAACAGAAAACAGAAAGCACUACAGUUUAAUGAGUUACAGACUGCUCAGCAGAAAAGACAACAUAGACAUAUAAUACAGGUCUUUCUGCUAAUAUAUUCCUUUCUUUGCUUAAAACUAAGUACAGAUAUUACUUUGGAACCCUUUGAAUGUGGGAAAUUAGUUUCCUCCUCAGCAUUGUCCUCUACUACUUUUCGGAGUAUAAUGUGUAUGACAUUCUCUCAGUAAAAUUUUGAUACACUUGAUAGUUGAAGGUUAAAGAAGAGUAGAAAUCAUCUUAACACCUUACUAAUGGGAAAUUUUUUCAUAGGAAUACACAUAAUUUCCAGAAAGUUACCUUUUUAUAGAGGGCAUCAUGCAUAAUAACACCUUUUGGCUCAAAAUAGAAAUUAUUUUUAAGCUUAUACUUUUGCCAUACGUUAGAGCAACUACUGAUUUAGAUUGUUCUGUUUUACUGUUCUAGAAUCAUUCCACACUUGCCUCUUGGCAUCCAUAAUCAGAAAAGUAAAUCAAGAAAUAAACUAUAAACUGAUCAAUGUUUUAUUAUUUUCCUUAUAGCCUUUUAUUUUACCAUGAGGAGUUUCUGUAUGUAAGGCACUUUAGAAUAUGAAUGAUUUUCAUGGCAUACACAUAAGGGACUAUUAAAAACAACUGACAUGUUUUUGGUAAAGUAUUUGACUGUUUAUUCUUCAUGUAACUGAAAAUAUUCAGCAUUGAAAGAGUUUGCAUUUCAUGAUGGCUACAAAGUUGAAAUUUACAUUCUGGUUUCUUAAAGGCAGGAACUACAUUCUGCAAAGGGCAAAUUUCAAAAGACAAAACUUAAUCCUUAUACUAGCAAAAGUUUGAUUAGAUAAGUUCUACAUACUUAGCUGCUUAUAUAAAUACAGGUGGCUGAGGCUGAAAAUGAAUGCCCCAGGAAGAAGUAAAUCAAUUUUACAAAAAUUAUCAAAUGGCAUAAUGAUGGGCACACAAUGCCCUCCACCCACAGCUGUUCUUGCAUUUCUAACAUAAAAGGCAGCACAAGACAGAAGGGAAACACUGACAAAUAGAUUGGUUCUGCCAUUUCCUUAGCAUUAUGUGCCCUGUCACUUUUUGAAUUUCUUAGAUAAGAUGCAAUUUCUCUUUAGUUUUUAAUGCCCUUUUAGAUAUUUUUUGUUACAGGAUUCGUUACCAUGAAUCCAAGGGACUUUAUUUUGGCACUUUGACAGAAAGGAUUGGACUGCUUAAACAAGAACUAAUAAAUAGCUUCCAUUUCCUACAUGAAAAAAGUAAUACAUGUUUAUGCUGUUUCCUGGAUUGCACAUGUAACUGGCAGCAAGAAACACCCUCGGAAUAGUAAUCAUAAAAUAUCCUUGUUUAUUCCAAAGCAUAACUAUAGAAAUGUGUGACAAUCUGAAUUUCUUUUGUAUGCCAAAAUAUGCUGAGAAAGUACUAAUGAAUGCUGUGCCAUUCUAAUUUUGUAUUAAUGAAAUAAUUUAUUAUUUUUUCAGUUUUAAUUAAAAUUGGCUUUGCAUCAAACUGUGCUUAUCACAUUGAUCACAUGAUAAAAAGGGAAUUUUGUCAUUUAUCAAUAAAAAUGAUUAUGUGUAUUAUCUAACCAUUAAUGACACAUUUUAGAGUGUGAAGAUGUUGGCACACAUUUUCAUUAUUUUUUUGUUUCCUGAAAAAAUAAUUUAUUAUUGCCAUGUUUAUGGUUCCAUCCUGUGCAAUUAAUUAUUACAGAACAAAGCAAGACUAACAAAAGUUUUGAUAGUAAUACAAGCAGUCAGAUUGAAAUUUCAGUCUUUUGGCUAUUGACAUAAGUUUCAUAUCAGUAAUAAAUUACUUGAGGUGUCAA
rnacentral:lncRNA from 1 species